AGCAGCCGCGGUAAUUCCAGCUCCAAUAGCGUAUAUUAAAGUUGUUGCAGUUAAAAAGCUCGUAGUUGAACUUCGGGGUUUACCCAUUGGUCAGGCUUAAUUGUCUGUACUGGUGAGAUAAAUCUCUACCUUCUGAGGAACUUUCAUGCCAUUUAUUUGGUGUGAUUGGAAAUCAGGACUAUUACUUUGAAAAAAAUUAGAGUGUUUAAAGCAGGCUAACGUCUGAAUAUAUUAGCAUGGAAUAAUGAAAUAGGACGGCUUGGUUCUAUUUCGUUGGUUUCUAGGAUCACCGUAAUGAUUAAUAGGGAUAGUUGGGGGCAUUAGUAUUCAAUUGUCAGAGGUGAAAUUCUUGGAUUUAUUGAAGACUAACUACUGCGAAAGCAUUUGCCAAGGAUGUUUUCAUUAAUCAAGAACGAAAGUUAGGGGAUCGAAGACGAUCAGAUACCGUCGUAGUCUUAACCAUAAACUAUGCCGACUAGGGAUCGGACGAAGUUAAUUUUAUAAUGACGCGUUCGGCACC
rnacentral:rRNA from 1 species